rnacentral:rRNA from 1 species
AUUGAACGCUGGCGGCAUGCUUUACACAUGCAAGUCGAACGGUAACAGGUCUUCGGAUGCUGACGAGUGGCGAACGGGUGAGUAAUGCAUCGGAACGUGCCCAGUCGUGGGGGAUAACGCAGCGAAAGCUGUGCUAAUACCGCAUACGAUCUAUGGAUGAAAGCGGGGGACUCGCAAGGGCCUCGCGCGAUUGGAGCGGCCGAUGUCAGAUUAGGUAGUUGGUGGGGUAAAGGCCCACCAAGCCAACGAUCUGUAGCUGGUCUGAGAGGACGACCAGCCACACUGGAACUGAGACACGGUCCAGACUCCUACGGGAGGCAGCAGUGGGGAAUUUUGGACAAUGGGCGCAAGCCUGAUCCAGCAAUGCCGCGUGCAGGAAGAAGGCCUUCGGGUUGUAAACUGCUUUUGUACGGAACGAAACGGUCCUGGUUAAUACCUGGGGCUAAUGACGGUACCGUAAGAAUAAGCACCGGCUAACUACGUGCCAGCAGCCGCGGUAAUACGUAGGGUGCAAGCGUUAAUCGGAAUUACUGGGCGUAAAGCGUGCGCAGGCGGUUUUGUAAGACAGUCGUGAAAUCCCCGGGCUCAACCCGGGAAUUGCGAUUGUGACUGCAAGGCUGGAGUGCGGCAGAGGGGGAUGGAAUUCCGCGUGUAGCAGUGAAAUGCGUAGAUAUGCGGAGGAACACCGAUGGCGAAGGCAAUCCCCUGGGCCUGCACUGACGCUCAUGCACGAAAGCGUGGGGAGCAAACAGGAUUAGAUACCCUGGUAGUCCACGCCCUAAACGAUGUCAACUGGUUGUUGGGUCUCUUCUGACUCAGUAACGAGGCUAACGCGUGAAGUUGACCGCCGGGGGAGUACGGCCGCAAGGUUG